AAGCUCCCAGACGAACAGAACCAGUCCGAACACCACGAAGCCGGCGUCGCCCAGACUGGAGCGCAGGUCCGCCUGCAGAACCACAGAAACAGCUGCUCCACCUCAGUCUGAACCAGUGUCGAGAGGAACGCAUUACAAGUAGAUGCUGGCGAGAGACAUCUUGGCCACCUUGUAGAGGCAGACGGAGAGCGAGACGGCGCAGAGGACGAAGAGCGAGUCGUUGAUGGUCACGCGCACCAGGACGAUGGUCUUUACCGGCGCAACGCUUGUCUUCACCAGCAGAGCACACGUCAGAUUGACCAGCAGGAACAGCAGACUCACGCCCACGAACAGCAGGUACAGAGGAAACCUGCGGACCAGAGGAGGCAUGAUGAUGAGGAUGAAGAUGAGGAGGACAGAUGAUAAUAUCAGUGUAAGAACUCACUUGUAUUUCAGGAGUACAGGUUCAUCAGGAUGAGUGUGAAGAACUGCAGGCACACGGGGAGGCAGUAGAGCAUCCAGAAGCUGAAGGGUCCGAGAGUGUUUGACCGUCACACAGUCCCUGAAGUAGAAGGAGAAGAGAAGCGCUCUCAGGUGUGUGAGUGUGUGUGUGUGUGUGUGUGUGUGUGUGUACCUGAAGUAGAAGGA